rnacentral:ncRNA from 2 species
AGCUCAUCCAGAGAGGUGGAGGGACCGGCCCGAUGAUACCUCGGCAACCACUAACACAAGCAGGUGCCAAAUCCGGCAGAGGCUAUUAAUUAUGGUCAAUCUGGGAGAUGAGGG